rnacentral:rRNA from 1 species
UUGCCUCAGUAACGGCGAGUGAAGCGGCAACAGCUCAAAUUUGAAAUCUGGCUCCUUUGGGGGUCCGAGUUGUAAUUUGUAGAGGAUGCUUCGGCUUACGCCCCGGUCUAAGUUCCUUGGAACAGGACGUCACAGAGGGUGAGAAUCCCGUUUGUGGCCGGCGGCUUCUGCCAUGUGAAGCUCCUUCGACGAGUCGAGUUGUUUGGGAAUGCAGCUCUAAAUGGGAGGUAAAUUUCUUCUAAAGCUAAAUACUGGCCAGAGACCGAUAGCGCACAAGUAGAGUGAUCGAAAGAUGAAAAGCACUUUGGAAAGAGAGUGAAAAAGUACGUGAAAUUGUUGAAAGGGAAGCGCUUGCGACCAGACUUGCCCGCGGAUGCUCAGCCGGUCCUUCGGCCGGUGCACUCUUCCGCGGUCAGGCCAGCAUCGGUUCGGGCGGUCGGAUAAAGGCCUUGGGAAUGUGGCUCCCUUUGGGGAGUGUUAUAGCCCUCGGUGCAAUACGGCCUGCCUGGACCGAGGCCCGCGCUUCGGCUAGGAUGCUGGCGUAAUGGUCGUAAGCGGCCCGUCUUGAAACACGGACCAAGGAGUCUAACAUCUAUGCGAGUGUUUGGGUGUCAAACCCGUGCGCGAAAUGAAAGUGAACGGAGGUGGGAACCCUUGGGUGCACCAUCGACCGAUCCUGAUGUCUUCGGAUGGAUUUGAGUAAGAGCAUAGCUGUUGGGACCCGAAAGAUGGUGAACUAUGCCUGAAUAGGGUGAAGCCAGAGGAAACUCUGGUGGAGGCUCGCAGCGGUUCUGACGUGCAAAUCGAUCGUCAAAUUUGGGUAUAGGGGCGAAAGACUAAUCGAACCAUCGACUGUAUAGAGAGGUAUGCUGCUAGGUGGUUAAGAGGCAGCUAAAAGUGCUGUCUAGUCCUUCCAUUCAGGGCGACAUCGUCAAAUUGCGGGGACGACCUUAGAGCCUGAACUACCGCGGCCGAUCGAAAGAUACGGUGCAGCACCAGGGUAAUGACCUCGGGUAUGGUAAAAACGUUCAGGAUUGGUUAAUCCGCAGCCAAGUCCUAACCCAACCGUAAGAGGGUUGGUAUGGAUGCAGUUCACAGACUAGAUGGCGAUGGGUUCGGUCUGCUGUUGGGCGGGCUGGGUCUAAGAUAUAGUCGAACCCCCGUGGAAACACGGGCGGGUGGGCAAAGUCUCCUAGGCGGGUGGGCGCCUGUAAAACAGGCGUGCCCGGGAGACCCG